rnacentral:lncRNA from 1 species
ACCAUGGCGACCUAUGGGCAGACCUGCAUGUGGCCAGUGUGGAUUUCUUCAUCAUAUGUUAACCUUGGCAAAGCUGCCAGAGAUAUUUUUAACAAAGGAUUUGGUUUGGGGUUGGUAAAACUGGAUGUGAGAACAAAGUCACGCAGUGCUGUGGGAUUUUCAACAUCUGGUUCAUUUAAUGCAGACACUGGAAAAGCUUUUGAAGUCUUGGAGACCAAAUAUAAACGGUGUGAGUAUGGUGUGACUUUCCCAGAAAAAUGAGACACUGUUAAUACUCUGGGAACAGAAAUCACAAUUGGACCACCUUUGUCAAGGUUUGAAACUAAUAUUUGAUACUACCUUCUUAGCAAUCACAGGAAACAAAAGUGGUAAAAUCAAGUCCUCUUGCAAGAGGGACUGCAUAAACCUUGCUUGUGAUGUUAAUUUUGAUUUUGCUGGACCUGCAAUCUAUGCUUCAGCUGUCUUUGGUUACGAGGGCUGGCUUGCUGGGUACCAGAUGACCACUGACAGUGCCAAGUCAAAGCUGACAAGGAAUAACUGUAGUGGGCUACCGGAUGGGGGACUUCGAGCUUCACACUAAUAACAAUAAUGGGGCAGAAUUUGGAGGCUCAGUUUAUCAGAGGGUAUGUGACAAUCUUGAUACUUCAGUAAACCUUGCUCGGACAUCAAGUGCCAACUGCACUCAUUUUGUCUUGCCACUAAAUAUCAGUUGCAUUUCACUGCUUCUAUGUUUGCAAAAGUCAACAACUCUAGUUUAAUUGGAGUGGAAGGAAAGAGACUUCAUUUACACUCAGACUCUGAGCCUGCUGUGAAGCUUGCACUUUCUGCUCUGCUAGAUAAAAAGUGCAUUAAUGGAGGAGGCCAAAGACUUGGGUUUGUCCUGGAGUUGGAGACUUAAUCC